rnacentral:lncRNA from 1 species
AGAUCUUAGGGUCUUAUCAAUUGGUAUCAAAGCUCUUUCUUCUUUUACGAUAAGACCUUAGGGUCUUAUCAUUUGAUAUCAGAGCAUUUUAUGAUAAGACUUUAGGGUCUUAAUAUUUGGUAUUAGAGCUCUUCCUUCUUUUACGAUAAAACCUUAGGGUCUUAUCAUUUGGUAUCAGAGCAUUUUACGAUAAGACUUUAGGGUCUUAACAUUUGGUAUAAGAGCAGUGAACCUUGGUGUUCUUGGUGUAGUUCGUCAUCUCAAAAAAAAAAAAAGAGAGAGAAGCUAUCGUCAUCAAAAAAAAAAAAGUAAAAGAGAGAAAUAAGAAGAGAGAAGGCCGGUAGACCGCAUCCCCUGCUUCAGGCCAGCCCACCCG